GACGAACGCUGGCGGCGUGCUUAACACAUGCAAGUCGAACGGGCCUUGUCCCCUUUUUUUUUGGGGGUGGGGGUAGUGGGGAACGGGUGAGUAACACUUGAGUAACCUUCCCCUCACUUUUGGAUAACCGCUUUAAAGGGAGUCCAAUACGGGGGGUUCUGGCCUGCUCGCAUGGUUGGGUUUUGAAAGAGGCGGGGGGUGUAGUCGCGGUUUGUGAGGUUGUUGGUGGGGUGCUGGCAUGCUGAGGGUGUGACGGGUAGCCGGCGUGGGAGGGUGUGGGGGGCCAGUGGGACUGAGACACGGCACAGACUCCUACGGGAGGCAGAAGUGGGGAAUAGUGCAAGAUGGGCGGAAGCCUGAUGAAGCGACGCCGCGUGAGGGAUGGAGGCCUUCGGGUUGUGAACCUCUUUCGGCAGUGAAGAAGGUCCUGCUCUUUGUGGUGGGGUUGACGGUAGCUGGGGUAAUGAAGCGACGGCUAACUGCGUG
rnacentral:rRNA from 1 species